rnacentral:rRNA from 1 species
UUUGAUCCUGGCUCAGAAUCAACGCUGGCGGCGUGCCUAACACAUGCAAGUCGAACGCGAAAGCCCCGCAAGGGGUAAGUAGAGUGGCAAACGGGUGGGUAACACGUGGGUGACCUGCCUGAGAGUGGGGGAUAACGACCCGAAAGGGUCGCUAAUACCGCAUAACAUCCUGCGUUUGGAAACGCGGAGAUCAAAGCCGGGGAUCGCAAGACCUGGCGCUUACAGAGGGGCCCGCGGCCGAUUAGCUAGUUGGUAGGGUAACGGCCUACCAGGCAACGAUCGGUAUCCGGCCUGAGAGGGCGGACGGACACACUGGGACUGAGACACGGCCCAGACUCCUACGGGAGGCAGCAGUGGGGAAUUGUUCGCAAUGGGCGCAAGCCUGACGACGCA